UGCCUUCGUUAUGAAGGUCUCAAUGUGCUCUUUCCAACAGCGUUUGUCCCGCAGGCGCGCGAUGUUCCGUUCUCCCGAUAUCGGCUUAAGAGCAUGACGAGCUGCGAGGCUGGCUAGAGCCAACCUGAAACGCUUCCCACUUUUCGGUGUCGUAAGUCGAUUACCCGAUGUCCGAUUUAGUCGAAAUUUUGUGUGCGCGUGCUCUGUUCCCUGCUCUACAACUUUCCAAUUGAGACCAGCCGUCGAUUUCCAGUGGUUAAGACGUCAUUCUCGAAAUUCCUGACACCGACCACCGUUCACCGAUUUUUGUCCCUGUCUUCAGGCUUGAAGCCCACGGCGGAUCCGACUUCCUUUUAAUGGGCACACGCACUCGACAUGGGAAACGCGUAGAAACUUGCCGCAUCUUUCUAUCCCUCUCGGUUCUCGAGUUAGAACACCGUGGCAACGGCGGUUCUCUGAUACAUGGGCCUGGGGCAUUUUUUUCGAUAUCGGGUUCUUGCUGGCGUAGGAAGGUGAUUGAGAUGUGUUUUUGAAGAGGAAAACGUCCUCUUUCCGAUAGCGUUGGUCCCGUCUUCGCGCGACUUUCCGUUCCCUUGCUACAUUCCGAGGAGCGCCUGGCUGGGGCAUGGCCUGGCGGGCGGGUGGCCUUCCUGCCGUUUCUGCGCUGCGGGCGGCGUCCAUUUCGCUUGCAAGCUUCGUUGCGUUCGCACGCCUUUUUCUGGCUCCCGUUGUCUCGCGUUCCGUCGUUGCUCUGGUGCCCUGGACUGCUGUGAAUGUGUUUUUAUGCCCUACUAGUGUUGCCUGGGGGUGCUUUUAUGUGUGCACCCUGGAAGAUAGGUCCAGAAGCCUUGCGAUUUCUUAGAUUAAAGCUAAGUGUACUCGUGACCCUACCAGCUCUUUUCAAGAUAAUUUCGACGUAUUCAUUGCGGUGAACAACGCGGUUGGGACAGCACACCCACGACGUGGGAAGGUCACAGAAAUGUUGAAAGACAUCAGGUAAGUUACGCUAAAGUGCGUUUCCGAGCUCUUCAGUGACUUGUGUUUACUGCGAAACAGAUUGGGCAUACCCUUCACCCGUGCAACUUCGUCAUGUGCUCCACGGCAGCACAAGCCUUUACGGCUGUGCCACUAUGUGUGGAAACGUCGUAGCGGAUGAAUGUGAAUUAUGGAUCUCCAAGUGGCGUCGCCCGCGUCAUUUUCGAGAUUUUACCCGUUUUGAAGGUACGUAGUGAAUGUGCGAGGCAUUCACGUUCCUACUACGUGGUUAUCCAUGCGUUUCCCGUCUUCGCAGGCAAUAGGGCUGUUGAUAGGGAGAAUGCUAGGCUACUGCAGACUGCAACCAUAGGCGCUGUGUCUAAAGGUUAAGCUCACAUGACGCGGCAGGGAAGGGAGUCCGUGGCGAAAAGUGAAUAUAGCCGAAGUUGGAUAGCGUUAAUUUUUGCGCACGAAAGGCAAGAUGGACACAUAGCAAAUCUCCAGUUGUACGAAACACAGUGCAGCAUGGUCGUCGGUUAUGCCAGUGCUUCAACAUAUGUUUCAGCGUCGCACUUCGCACAUUGCGGGCAUAUACCUUUAAGUUUUUCCCCUUGUGGGCCGAUGCUGUGUGUGUUCAUGGACAUCAUGUUUUCAAAGACAUGCAAGUUCUCAAUAGUAAUGCGAAAAAAAAUGCUGGUCAUGUUACGCUGUGAUAUAAUACCUGGUGAGGUAAUACGAUGCUAUGACGCUCAGUUUCAUACGAAAUAAAGUGUUUGAUCUAAUGUUGCUUGUCUGUGCCACUGAUACGCACUGCUGUGCGGUGUUGAUGUAAUGUUCAGAGAACGCCAGUAAGCCUGGCUAAGGCACGGGAAAAAGGUCCACUAGAGGUCCGUA